CUUGGUCAUUUAGAGGAAGUAAAAGUCGUAACAAGGUUUCCGUAGGUGAACCUGCGGAAGGAUCAUUCAUAAUAAGUGUUUUAUGGCACUUUUUAAAUCCAUAUCCACCUUGUGUGCAAUGUCAGUCGAUCUUCUUCAUGGAGAUCGACCAAACAUCAACCUUUAUUUUUUAACUCUUUGUCUGAAAAAUAUUAUGAAUAAACAAUUCAAAAUACAACUUUCAACAACGGAUCUCUUGGCUCUCGCAUCGAUGAAGAACGCAGCGAAAUGCGAUACGUAAUGUGAAUUGCAGAAUUCAGUGAAUCAUCGAAUCUUUGAACGCAUAUUGCGCUCUUUGGUAUUCCGAAGAGCAUGCUUGUUUGAGUAUCAGUAAACACCUCAAAGCUUUUGGAUUUUUUAAUCGAAAAGCUUUGGACUUGAGCAAUCCCAACACCAAUCUUUUUGAGAUCGGUGGCGGGUUGCUUGAAAUGCAGGUGCAGCUGGACAUUCUCCUGAGCUAAAAGCAUAUUCAUUUAGUCCCGUCAAACGGAUUAUUACUUUUGCUGCAGCUAACCUAAAGGGAGUUUGACCGUAUUGGCUGACUGAUGCAGGAUUUCACAAGGGUCGGCAACGAUUCUUGUUAAACUCGAUCUCAAAUCAAGUAAGACUACCCGCUGAACUUAAGCAUAUCAAUAAGCGGAGGA
rnacentral:rRNA from 1 species